rnacentral:rRNA from 1 species
CUACGGGAGGCAGCAGUGGGGAAUUUUGGACAAUGGGCGCAAGCCUGAUCCAGCCAUGCCGCGUGAGUGAAGAAGGCCUUCGGGUUGUAAGGCUCUUUCGGCCGGGAAGAAAUCGCAUUGGUUAAUACCUGGUGUGGAUGACGGUACCGGAAUAAGAAGCGCCGGCUAACUACGUGCCAGCAGCCGCGGUAAUACGUAGGGUGCGAGCGUUAAUCGGAAUUACUGGGCGUAAAGCGUGCGCAGGCGGUUUUGUAAGACAGGCGUGAAAUCCCCGGGCUCAACCUGGGAACUGCGCUUGUGACUGCAAGGCUAGAGUACGGCAGAGGGGGGUGGAAUUCCACGUGUAGCAGUGAAAUGCGUAGAGAUGUGGAGGAACACCAAUGGCGAAGGCAGCCCCCUGGGUCGAUACUGACGCUCAUGCACGAAAGCGUGGGUAGCAAACAGGAUUAGAUACCCUGGUAGUCCACGCCCUAAACGAUGUCAACUAGGUGUUGGGAGGGUAAAACCUUUUAGUACCGGAGCUAACGCGUGAAGUUGACCGCCUGGGGAGUACGGCCGCAAGGUUAAAACUCAAAGGAAUUGACGGGGACCCGCACAAGCGGUGGAUGAUGUGGAUUAAUUCGAUGCAACGCGAAAAACCUUACCUACCCUUGACAUGUCAGGAAGUCUUGAGAGAUCGAGAUGUGCCCGAAAGGGAACCUGAACACAGGUGCUGCUUGGCUGUCGUCAGCUCGUGUCGUGAGAUGUUGGGUUAAGUCCCGCAACGAGCGCAACCCUUGUCGUUAAUUGCCAUCAUUUAGUUGGGCACUUUAGCGAGACUGCCGGUGACAAACCGGAGGAAGGUGGGGAUGACGUCAAGUCCUCAUGGCCCUUAUGGGUAGGGCUUCACACGUCAUACAAUGGUCGGUACAAAGGGUCGCCAACCCGCGAGGGGGAGCCAAUCCCAGAAAGCCGAUCGUAGUCCGGAUUGCAGGCUGCAACUCGCCUGCAUGAAGUCGGAAUCGCUAGUAAUCGUGGAUCAGCAUGUCACGGUGAAUACGUUCCCGGGCCUUGUACACACCGCC